UUUUUUCCCUAAAAUCUAGAUAUGAACUUUGAAGAAUGUGGCUUUUGGAUCAGUCUAGUCCUAAAGAAGUCACUAUUAUGAAAUGAGUAAGUAAAAUGCUGUGCUGAACUUUAGCAAAGAAAUGACUAAGCUGUUCCCCUACAGUAUUAUUUGUAGAACAUCCUUGAUAAAAUCCUUUACAUAGGGAAGGUGUUGGUUUUGAGUAAUUUACAAAGUAAAUCUGAGAAAAACAAUAUACAACACAGGACAGCAAUACACAAAACCUGGACCAAGAGCACACUGGUAGUAGCGUUCACAAAGGAGCCUCUUUUCCUUGACAGAUUGAUGUUUUUGAAAAAAUAUUUUUGGAUUUCAGGUCUGAAUCAGAAAUAGUGAGCUCUGGGUUAAGUACUGGUUGAAAACCAAUCUAUAGUUGUUGAACUGUAUUGUGUUAAUCACUUAGAUGGCUUGAGAUUGAUAGAAGAAAAUCUUUUUCUUUUUUUUUUUUAAAGUAAAGUUGUGAUACCUUGAAAGAAAGUUCAAAGCCGGGACUGAGCUGAGACAAAGAAGGUAGACAGGAGAAGAGAGAUGAAUGUGUGAGACAAAGUGGAAUAGGAAAGGAAACCUGCAGAGUUUUGAACUGAAGGAACUUGAUCUCAGCUAAGAAGAGAAAAUCCAGGAACAGUCAAGAUGAGUCAACCCAACUUCUUUUCUGAUUGAAAUUCACUGCUGUCUCUGAUGUUUUUUUGUUUUGUUUUGUUUGUUUUUUUUUCUUUUUCCUUUCCCUUUUCUUUUCCCAGUGAUAGAUAGAUACUUUGUUGACUCUGCUAUUAUUUCUUUACUAUGUUCCUCUCUUCCACCUUUAAGAAAAGCAACCUACCUGAAAAACUGGUAAUCCUGAACCUGGGAAAAAUAAAAUAGCCCAGCAUAGUGAUAUCUGUAAUUCAGACUCAGCAGUGACAUGAAUUCCUGAGUGCUCCCUGGGAGCCCUCCUUCUUACAGCUCAGUACUUCAUAAGGGUAGAAAAAAGGCAACAAACUGAAUGAGCUAGAAAGAGUAAUUUUCCUAUUUUUUUAAGUUGUUUUCUGGGAUUCCUGGCGUGUUCAGAAGGACUGAGCAGUGCUCCUUAACAAAGCUUGCAAUUAAGUAAAUGUUGUGUUUGUUAUGGUUAGGUUUGGAUUUUUGGUAGCCAGGAAUGGUGAAGAGUAUAAGGUAGGAUUUAUUCAUCUUUUCCAGUGUUUACAGAGCUGGAUGGACUGAAACAAGCAGCUGAGAUUUAAGGUAGAAAUCUGUAAAGUGGAGCUAUAAUAAUGAAGCUGCGCAAUGUAUAAGCAUGUCUUCUGAUGAUUAGGAAUAAAUCCAUGAGUUUCAGGAGCCUUAAAUAUACCUGUUCUGCAGUUUUUCCAAAUGGCUGGAUUAUCUGCAUACACAUAUGACACAACUGCCAGAGAGACUUCUGCUUAUUAGGAACCGUUCACAAUCUUCCUGUAAGUUGCCAGAGCUGAAUCUCGGCCACAGCUCCCCUUUGUUUAUGCCCAGCUGGGAAAUCUUGGUUUUGUCCUAUCUGUCCCUGAGCACUGGGGGUGCAUGGUACAGGACGUCCUCUACUACAGACUCCUGCCCUGCUGGGAGGGGGCAGGGAGCUCAUCCUGCACACAAGGCUGCCCUGGUGCUCCUUGGGCUGACUUUGUUCUGUGCUUAUGCCUGCUUUUGUGCAGUAGUGUAAGAAAAGAGUUUGUCUGACUCCCAUAUGCAGCCAACAGAUGCUUGUGACCAUGGGUGUUGCAUGAUCAAUGAAUGGUAACAUAAAAUCUUUAAACCUACCAAAAGAAUUGAGAAUUUCAGCAAAUUUCUCUCUUGUCUGGAUGCUCAUUUUGAUUGGCUAUUGAAAAAAAAAAAAGCCAGUUGUGCGUAAACUCCAUCUGUUCUUAUGGAGCAGUAUAUAUGUAGUUGGGAGGAAAACUUAAAGGGAUAUGUGAGCAGUGUUAUUGGAAAAACAGAAGAACCGAAUAUGGUAUCAGAAUCCCUUUUGGUGCACAGAGGGGGCUGCAAUAACUGGAGAGUAUUCAGCUUUCUGCAAAAAUAUUAUCAGAAGAAAUUGAUCCUUUAAUGUAUGCCUUGGAAAAGAAAAAAUUAAGCUUUUAAAAUUAUGCUUCCAUUUUACAGUACUGUGUAAUUUGAUUAUACAAACUACACCUAUGCAGGUGUUUCACUGAAAUGUUUCUCUCUGUACUCAGCAGAGCAAGGAUACAGACCUUACUGAACAGUGGGAUGAGAUGCAGAGUCUUAGGAGCUGUUACGUAGGUGAUUGACACAUCUUAUGUUAUUUGUUCUUCUGGUCUGUGAUGCACCCUAGAAAACUCUACAUUUCUUUGGGCCUGAUGCAAUUUUGUAGACUUGCAGAACAGCCCUGGAGAAGUCAUACAUGUGCCACAACAUCUGAACGGAUCUGAGGAAUGGGAAAAAAAGACGGGAGGAGAGGAAGCACUAAGCACUUUCCACAAAACAAGGCCUCUGGAAAUAAGAUGGUGUCGAAAUCUCUGCAUUUAUUGCUAUGUGCUUAAAAGGUCCUUUAUAGUUCAGGCAAGAACGAUUCUUGCCCUGGCAAGCUUACACGCUAAUUGAAACCUCUGUAUUCUUGUGCCUGCACAACACGGCAAAAUGGAGAGCCGCAGCAAUGGAAAUACUGUGACGUUGCUCAGGUCAAAAUACACAUUACAAGAGCAUCAGCCAGGAGAAAAAGGUGGAUAUUACUGUGAGACAAGGAGAUAGCUGGAAAAAGGAGGCUGGUUAGAGCAGUAUAGCUUAGGGGGUGCGGCUCAAAAGGAGAAGUCUGGGUAAUUUGGGAGGAAAGAAAAUAUGCAGGAAGCUUGGAAAGCCAGGAGCUCUGAGAUAAAUUAAAGGAGACAGAGCAGACCAACAAAAUGAGUAGAUUUGAUUGUUUGAAUGACGUGUGUGCAGUUGAGUAACAGGUGAAAGGAAUAAGGAGGACAUAGUAGUCUGAGAAGCUUUAUAGGGAUCACCUGGAAGCCAGAGGCAAGAGGAGGUGAGCUGUGAAGGGGGAGGAAGCAAAAUACAGUUGGGGAAAGCUAAGGGUGAGCUGUUCCUGUUCUAGAGGCAAGUCUGGCUGUGGGAAGGAAAAAUCAGAGUCCACCAAUGCUCGGGAAAAUGGACAAAAUGGAAUAGGAAUGGUACAGAUCCAGAGGAGAAGCAAAAUACUUCAUGUUUUGGAAGAUGCUGGAGAAAUCUCUCCAAAUGCUUCUCUACUUGUUUGUGGUCCACACUGGCACAGAAACUUCCCUUUUUUAAGUAAAGGGACAGCUAAAAUGAAGCAAGGAUAACUGAAGUCUGUAAUAAGACAUGAAUAACGAUUUCACGCGUAACAAAAUUCUUGAUCAUAAACAGCCAAAUGACAGCAGUGUCUUGGCUGUUGUGAGGAAAAAGUAUGAAAUAAUGGUUUUAACAGACCUCUCCAGAACCCUACUACUGGAGCAAAAUUGUGAGCAUAUCUACAUAACAUCUCAGUGAGAUUCAGAUGCCUAUACAAGAGCUUGCAGCAGCUGUUCCAGAUGCCCUUUAAGGUGCUAGAGACAUCCAGACAGAGCAGGCUGAUGUGAUGCAGGAACUCUGAGAAAAGUGACCUGGAGAUCUGAGCAGAGAAAAGGCACUAAUACCCAUGAGUAGAUAAAGCAGACAACAAGCUUCUGAAUAUACUGUAGCAUGGAAGCAAAGUGGUCUUUGUGUGGGAAACUGAUGAUCACUGUGCCCUGUCCUUUGCUUUGGAGGAAUGCUGCUGAACAAGUCUCUCAUCUCCAGACGCUUCUCAGGUUUAUAAUGCUUAGUCCCCUUCCUUCCGCACAGUUUUAUAACUCCAGAUGCUUCUCUUAUUUUUGCCACCAUUAGAUGUAACAAAGAACUUUGGAAAAAUAAAGAUUUGGAAUAUAUAAAGGAAUUGAGUGGAAAAAAGAUUUUGAGUCAUAUGUAAGAUUCUGGAUCUGUCAAAUUAAUUCGAUUAUAUUUUAUUAGAUUGCGCAGCCAAUACAAAUGAUUCUUGCUUGUUACCAGAAGGUUUGAAAAUGCAACAUUUUAUUAUACUUCAUGUGGAUGUUUUCUGUCCAGUUAAGUAUAAGCUCCUUGGCUAAGCACUGCUGCUCUUCAUGUACUGAACAUUAAGAAGCAUAAGCAACAUAUCACCGGCAAUCCUUCAGUGUAAGUCAAUACACACAUACAUUCAUAUUUCAGACGUUAAAAAGAAAAAUUAACUUAAUGUAUCAAUUGCAUUUUAAGCUCUACUUGCUUUUAGUAGUAAUUGAGAUGAAUGGAUAAUUUAAAUCUAUUUACAAAGUUAAGGCUGAAAGCGUUUCAUUUAUAUUCAACAAAACCCGAUAUACUAUGGCAUUUUACCAAAACAUGGUGCACCUGAGAAAGACUUCUCAGUUUCUUUAGUUGACAGCUCUUCGCUACUGUUGUUGUCAAAAUACAUCUGCACAUUUUUUUUAAUUCUACAGUGAAUGUGGAAAUAUUUCUCAUUACGGUGAAAAAUAAAAAUGUUUAACUAUA